rnacentral:rRNA from 1 species
GUAACACGUGGUUAACCUACCCUCAGGACGGGGACAAACCCGGGAAACUGGGGCUAAUACCAGAUAGGCGAGGACGCCUGGAAUGGUUCUUCACCCAAAGGGCUUUGGAAACAUGCUUUUCAAAGUCGCCUGGGGAUGGGGCCGCGUCCGAUCAGGUUGUUGGUGAGGUAAUGGCUCACCAAGCCUAUAACCGGUACGGGCCGUGAGAGCGGUAGCCCGGAGAUGGGCACUGAGACAAGGGCCCAGGCCCUACGGGGCGCAGCAGUCGCGAAAACUCCGCAAUGCACGAAAGUGUGACGGGGCUACCCCGAGUGCCGUCCGCUGAGGAUGGCUUUUCCUCGGUGUAACUAGCCGGGGGAAUAAGGAGAGGGCAAGACUGGUGUCAGCCGCCGCGGUAAUACCAGCUCUCCGAGUUGUAGGGAUGAUUAUUGGGC